rnacentral:lncRNA from 1 species
GUGAGAGGUUGUGUGUGUGUCGUGAGGUGUGUGAGGUUUGUGUGUGUCCUGAGGUGUGUGAGAUGUUGUGUGUGUGUCCUGAGGUAUGUGAGGGUUGUGUGUGUGUCCUGAGUUGUGUGAAAGUUGUGUGUGUCCUGAGGUGUGUGAGGUGUUAUGUGUGUGCCCUGAGGUGUGUGAGGGUUGUGUGUGUGUCCUGAGGUGUGUGAGGGUUGUGUGUUUCUUGAGGUAUGUGAGAGUUGUGUGUGUCCUGAGGUGUGUGAGGGGUUAUGUGUGUGUCCUGAGGUGUGUGAGAGUUGUGUGUGUGUCCUGAGGUGUGUGAGGUGUUGUGUGUGUGUCCUGAGGUAUGUGAGGGUUGUGUGUGUGUCCUGAGUUGUGUGAAAGUUGUGUGUGUCCUGAGGUGUGUGAGGUGUUAUGUGUGUGCCCUGAGGUGUGUGAGGGUUGUGUGUUUCUUGAGGUAUGUGAGAGUUGUGUGUGUCCUGAGGUGUGUGAGGGUUGUGUGUGUGUCCUGAGGUGUGUGAGAGUUGUGUGUGUGUCCUGAGGUGUGUGAGGUGUUGUGUGUGUGUCCUGAGGUAUGU